CCCUUCCUCGCCAUUUUAGAAGUUGCUCGUGAAACGAAGGUACAAGGAGUCAUUUAGUCGUCUCAUUUCGUACCGAUAACAUGGAUCGCAUUGCGUCAGGCGUGGCAAGUAAACUCAAGUACUUCAAUGCAAGAUUUAACAUGCGUUUCUGUAGUAUUAUUUAAGUAUAUUUAGUUGUAAACUUUUGAAUUCUGGCACAUAUUUUCGACUAUUUAUAACACGCGACUAUAGUGUAUUGGUGGAGUAUAUAUUUCCUAUUCUAGUAAGGAACAUUCACAGUAUAAUUCUUGCAAAUGAUCGUAUUGCAUUCACGGUAUUCAUAAACAUUUGUUCGAUAUCGACAAAUAUCUUAUAAUUUUAAACUAAUAUUUUUCAUACGUGAACGAAAAGUAGCAGUAUUUUCUCAAUCGAUAGAGAAAAGAAGAAAAACAUCGAAACACUAUUUCGCUUCUUUUCUACUUCCCAUCCUACCCUACCCCUCCACCAUAACCCAUAAGCAACUUUAUUAUUAGGGAAUAUUUGUGACUGCGUGCAAUGCAGUUUGUAGAGUCAGUGUUUGCUCCGCAAAAGUAUUUUUCAAUAUUUUCAAAUUAUGGUCGUUUUGAAUAAAUCCAAUUAAAUAAUCACACGCGAAAGUAAUAAAAUUUUAUCAAACAAUUUUUUACACGACAUUAGGGUCCUUGUUCGCCGAUUAUAAUUUUACCGGUCGCAGUAAUGUGGUCUUAUUUUAUAUUCUUUUGAACAUUCUUUUUCGGUACUAGAAUCAGUGCAUCUCUCAAGAGGACAAAGCCCCUGCAGGAGCUCAGGAAUACAUAUCACAGCUUAGACUUCUUUGUCUUCUUUGGGAAUGUUCCAACGGUUACUCAAGAAUCCCAGAAUGCCCGGUCCACCAAUUGCACCCAAUGCUAUCGUCCUCGCAUUCUACAUGAUCAUAGCCCACUUAAACCUAAAUUAACAAUGAACAACGAUCACUUAAACUCUCAACUUCGGCACUUAACACAAGAAAAUUCACACUGUACACAAAAUUAAUUUUGAUAUUAAAUAAAUAUUCGUUUAACUAA